UCGAGCGAACAGAUAAGGAGCUUGCUCCUUUGACGUUAGCGGCGGACGGGUGAGUAACACGUGGAUAACCUACCUAUAAGACUGGGAUAACUUCGGGAAACCGGAGCUAAUACCGGAUAACAUAUUGAACCGCAUGGUUCAAUAGUGAAAGGCGGCUUUGCUGUCACUUAUAGAUGGAUCCGCGCCGUAUUAGCUAGUUGGUAAGGUAACGGCUUACCAAGGCAACGAUACGUAGCCGACCUGAGAGGGUGAUCGGCCACACUGGAACUGAGACACGGUCCAGACUCCUACGGGAGGCAGCAGUAGGGAAUCUUCCGCAAUGGGCGAAAGCCUGACGGAGCAACGCCGCGUGAGUGAUGAAGGUCUUCGGAUCGUAAAACUCUGUUAUCAGGGAAGAACAAAUGUGUAAGUAACUGUGCACAUCUUGACGGUACCUGAUCAGAAAGCCACGGCUAACUACGUGCCAGCAGCCGCGGUAAUACGUAGGUGGCAAGCGUUAUCCGGAAUUAUUGGGCGUAAAGCGCGCGUAGGCGGUUUUUUAAGUCUGAUGUGAAAGCCCACGGCUCAACCGUGGAGGGUCAUUGGAAACUGGAAAACUUG
rnacentral:rRNA from 1 species